GAUGAACGCUGACAGAAUGCUUAACACAUGCAAGUCAACUUGAACUUCGGUUUGGGUGGCGGACGGGUGAGUAACGCGUAAAGAACUUGCCUCACAGAUAGGGACAACAUUUGGAAACGAAUGCUAAUACCUGAUAUUAUGAUUAUAUGGCAUCGUAUAAUUAUGAAAGCUAUAUGCGCUGUGAGAGAGCUUUGCGUCCCAUUAGCUAGUUGGAGAGGUACCGGCUCACCAAGGCGAUGAUGGGUAGCCGGCCUGAGAGGGUGAUCGGCCACAAGGGGACUGAGACACGGCCCUUACUCCUACGGGAGGCAGCAGUGGGGAAUAUUGGACAAUGGACCAAGAGUCUGAUCCAGCAAUUCUGUGUGCACGAUGAAGUUUUUCGGAAUGUAAAGUGCUUUCAGUUGGGAAGAAAAAAAUGACGGUACCAACAGAAGAAGUGACGGCUAAAUACGUG
rnacentral:rRNA from 1 species